rnacentral:lncRNA from 1 species
CCUUCCUUCCUUCCUUCCUUCCUUCCUUCCUUCCUUCCUUCCUUCCUUCCUUCCUUCCUUCGUGCUGGGGAUUGAACUCAGGGCACUUAACCACUGAGCCACAUCCCCAGCCAUUUUUGAUAUUUUAUUUAGAGACAGGGUCUCUCUGAGUUGCUUAGGGCCUCGCUAAGUUGCUGAGGCUGGCCUUGAACUUGCAAUCCUCCUGCCUCGGCCUCCUGAGCUGCUGGGAUCACCGGCGUGCGCCAUGACUUCCUGCUCAGCCCAUGGUUUUCUGACCAGGUUCAGGGACUUGGGCAGGAAAUGCUGCUUCUUCAAGGACCACGUCCCCUACCGUCAGGUAACCAUUUGUCUCCACUCUUCUCCUGCUGCGCCUGCCUGGUCAACCACUGGCUGCCCCCAGGGGUAACGGAUGUGUCCAGGAAUGGACACUUGGCCCAAGUGUCCAUUGACCCAGGCCAAUUACUGCCCUGUCCCUGGCUCCCCCUCUUGCCAUUCUCAGGGGGCGCUGCUGAGGCCUGGUGACUUCAGGAGCUGGUCUGAGGGGUGGCCCUCCUGUCCAGGGAACAGUGGGAAGGGCAACGGGGAGAGUCAGUGCAGGUGUCCUCAGACCAGCUGUGCUGGCCCUUGGUGGCGCCCUGUCUCCCCAGCCACCUUGAGUCAGCUCUGUGGCCUGCCACUCAUGGUCCUGAGGAUGCAGCCUGUGCCUCCCACCCCUCAGCUACGUGCCUGUCAUUUCUCCAAGGGGACAAGGGUAUUCUUUCUUAGUUCCCAGCAAAAUCCCCAUUCUCGAGUCAAGUCUGUUCUCGCUCCUGCUGGGGGUGGGUUGGGGGAGGAUGU